GAUGAACGCUGGCGGCGUGCCUAAUACAUGCAAGUCGAGCGAACAGAUGAGGAGCUUGCUCCUCUGACGUUAGCGGCGGACGGGUGAGUAACACGUGGAUAACCUACCUAUAAGACUGGGAUAACUUCGGGAAACCGGAGCUAAUACCGGAUAAUAUAUUGAACCGCAUGGUUCAAUAGUGAAAGACGGUUUUGCUGUCACUUAUAGAUGGAUCCGCGCCGCAUUAGCUAGUUGGUAAGGUAACGGCUUACCAAAGCAACGAUGCGUAGCCGACCUGAGAGGGUGAUCGGCCACACUGGAACUGAGACACGGUCCAGACUCCUACGGGAGGCAGCAGUAGGGAAUCUUCCGCAAUGGGCGAAAGCUUGACGGAGCAACGCCGCGUGAGUGAUGAAGGUCUUCGGAUCGUAAAACUCUGUUAUUAGGGAAGAACAAAUGUGUAAGUAACUAUGCACGUCUUGACGGUACCUAAUCAGAAAGCCACGGCUAACUACGU
rnacentral:rRNA from 1 species